rnacentral:tRNA from 2 species
GGUAGCGUGUCCGAGCGGCCGAAGGUGCGGCACUCGAAAUGCCGUGUGGUGCAAGCCACCGUGGGUUCAAAUCCCACCGCUACCG